rnacentral:rRNA from 1 species
CACGUAGUUAGCCGGGGCUUCUUACUCAGGUACCGUCAUUUCUUUCCUCCCUGCUGAUAGAGCUUUACAUACCGAAAUACUUCUUCACUCACGCGGCGUCGCUGGAUCAGGGUUUCCCCCAUUGUCCAAUAUCCCCCACUGCUGCCUCCCGUAGGAGUUUGGGCCGUGUCUCAGUCCCAAUGUGGCCGUCCACCCUCUCAGGCCGGCUACUGAUCGUCGCCUUGGUGGGCCGUUACCCCGCCAACCAGCUAAUCAGACGCGGGUCCAUCUUACACCACUAAUGUUUUUCACUCUGUCCCAUGCGGGACUGUGCGCUUAUGCGGUAUUAGCACCUAUUUCUAAGUGUUAUCCCCCUGUGUAAGGCAGGUUACCCACGCGUUACUCACCCGUCCGCCACUAAGUUAUCAACUUUUCCACUCUUAGCAAGCUAAUCGCUUCAAAAAUGAUAACUCCGUUCGACUUGCAUGUGUUAAGCACGCCGCCAGCGUUCAUCCUGAGCCAGGAUCAAACUCUA